rnacentral:rRNA from 1 species
AGUGAACGCUGGCGGCAGGCCUAACACAUGCAAGUCGAACGGCAGCACAGUAAGAGCUUGCUCUUACGGGUGGCGAGUGGCGGACGGGUGAGGAAUACAUCGGAAUCUACCUUGUCGUGGGGGAUAACGUAGGGAAACUUACGCUAAUACCGCAUACAACCUUCGGGUGAAAGCAGGGGACCUUCGGGCCUUGCGCGAUUGGAUGAGCAGAUGUCGGAUUAGCUAGUUGGCGGGGUAAAGGCCCACCAUGGCGACGAUCCGUAGCUGGUCUGAGAGGAUGAUCAGCCACACUGGAACUGAGACACGGUCCAGACUCCUACGGGAGGCAGCAGUGGGGAAUAUUGGACAAUGGGCGCAAGCCUGAUCCAGCCAUGCCGCGUGGGUGAAGAAGGCCUUCGGGUUGUAAAGCCCUUUUGUUGGGAAAGAAAAGCAGUCGGUUAAUACCCGAUUGUUCUGACGGUACCCAAAGAAUAAGCACCGGCUAACUUCGUGCCAGCCGCCGCAGUAAAAC